rnacentral:rRNA from 1 species
CUGUGCAAAGGUAGCAUAAUCAUUAGUUUUUUAAUUGAAAGCUGGAAUGAAGGGUUUGAUAAGAAAAAUUCUUUUUUAAUUUUAAAAUUAAAAUUUUAUUUUUAAGUAAAAAAGCUUAAAUGUUUUAAAAAGACGAGAAGACCCUAUAGAGUUUAAUAUAAUUAAUUUUUUAGUUACUUUAGUUUUAAAUUUACUGAAUUAUUAGUUUUGUUUUAUUGGGGUGAUAUAAAAAUUAAUUAAACUUUUUAUUUAUUUUUACAUUAAUAAGUGAAUUUUUGAUCCUAAGUUUUAGAUUAUAAGAUAAAAUUACCUUAGGGAUAACAGCGUAAUUUUUUUUAGAGUUCUUAUCGAAAAAAAAGUUUGCGACCUCGAUGUUGGAUUAAAGUUAAAUUUUGGUGCAGAAGCUUUAAGAUUAGGUCUGUUCGACCUUUAAAACU